AAAGGGGGAUCGAUUUAGCCAUGCUAGUUGCACGAGUUCAGACUCGUAGCAGAUAGCUCAGUAACAUGUGGCCAAACUACCCUAUGGAUCCGAAUAACCUCGGGAAACUGAGGCUAAUGCGGAAUAGCGUUCAUCGCCUGGAGUGGCACGAACGCGAAACGUUACGGCGCCAUAGGAUGUGGCUGCGGCCGAUUAGGUAGACGGUGGGGUAACGGCCCACCGUGCCCAUAAUCGGUACGGGUUGUGAGAGCAAGAGCCCGGAGACGGUAUCUGAGACAAGAUACCGGGCCCUACGGGGCGCAGCAGGCGCGAAACCUUUACACUGCACGCGAGUGCGAUAAGGGGACUCCGAGUGCGAGGGCAUAUAGUCCUCGCUUUUCACGACCGUAAGGUGGUCGUAGAAUAAGUGCUGGGCAAGACCGGUGCCAGCCGCCGCGGUAAUACCGGCAGCACGAGUGAUGACCGCUAUUAUUGGGCCUAAAGCGUCCGUAGCUGGCCACGCAAGUCUAUCGGGAAAUCCGCGCGCUUAACGCGCGGGCGUCCGGUGGAAACUGCGUGGCUUGGGACCGGAAGACCAGAGGGGUACGUCCGGGGUAGGAGUGAAAUCCCGUAAUCCUGGACGGACCACCGGUGGCGAAAGCGCCUCUGGAAGACGGAUCCGACGGUGAGGGACGAAAGCUCGGGUCACGAACCGGAUUAG
rnacentral:rRNA from 1 species